rnacentral:rRNA from 1 species
AUUGAACGCUGGCGGCAUGGCUAAUGCAUGCAAGUCGAACGAAAGCCCUUCGGGGCGAAAGUGGCGAAAGGGCGAGUAAUACGAUCGAACGUACCCCAAGGUGGAGGAUAGUGUCGGGAAACUGACGGUAAUACUCCAUGUGCUCUUCGGAGGAAAGCUUUGGCGCCUCGGGAGCGGCGAUCGUCCUAUCAGGUAGUUGGUGAGGUAAUGGCUCACCAAGCCGAAGACGGGUAGCGGGUGUGAGAGCAUGACCCGCCGCAUCGGGACUGAGACACUGCCCGGACUCCUACGGGAGGCUACAGCGACGAAUCUUCCGCAAUGGGCGCAAGCCUGACGGAGCAAUGCCGCGUGUGGGACGAAGCGUCUUCGACGUGUAAACCACUGUCAGAAUCUAGGAACACUGACCAGAUUCAAAGGAAGGGCCGGCUAACCUCGUG